rnacentral:rRNA from 1 species
UACAGAGGUCUCAAGCGUUGUUCGGAUUCAUUGGGCGUAAAGGGUGCGUAGGCGGCGCGGUAAGUCGGGUGUGAAAUCUCGGAGCUUAACUUCGAAACUGCAUUCGAUACUGCCGUGCUUGAGGACUGGAGAGGAGACUGGAAUUUACGGUGUAGCGGUGAAAUGCGUAGAUAUCGAGAGGAACACCUGCGGCGAAGGCGGGUAGCUGGGCCGACACUGACGCUGAUGCGCGAAAGCCAGGGGAGCGAACAGG